AAUAAGUGCAGUUUUGCACUAUUCAUGUUCAACGUUUGACCGUCCGUCUUAUUUGAAAAUUUUUUAUGAUUAGUAUUUUUAUUGCUAUUAGAUGAUAAAACAUGAAUAGUACUUUAUAUGUGACUAAAUAUUUUUAAUUUUUUCAUAAAUUUUUCAAAUAAGACGGACGGUCAAACGUUGAACGUGAAUAGUGCAAAACUGCACUUAUU
rnacentral:pre_miRNA from 1 species